GGUGCCGAUGGCGCACAGCAGACUGGUGGCGAUAGCGCACAGCAGACUUGUGACGAUAGGGCACAGCAGUCUGGUGGCGAUGGGGCACACAAGUCUGGUGAUGAUGGGGCACAGCAGUCUGGUGGUGAUGGCGCACAACCGUCCGGUGGCAAUGGUGCACAGCAGUCUGGUGGCGAUGGCGCACAACCGUCCGGUGGCAAUGGUGCACAGCAGUAUUCCUGGUCUUCUGAAGUUCGUUCAGGUCCUCAGCUCUGACCAGAUUCAAGGCGAGACAAGCAACGGAUCGGGCGAGUGAAGAGCUGUAGAGGUGCUGGCUCACUCAAGCCCCAGAUGAGUCUGCUAGUCGUCAAAGGGUGACGCCCCACGACAGCUGCGAUUGUUUCGAACACAAUAGAUACAUAUGAACCCUAAUAACAAUUAAGACACUGAUACACUCACAAACAAACAACCAGUUUACAUUACCUUCUCUUCACACUGUGGAGUUAAGGAAGAUAUCAAAGUAUGUAGGAUAAAACAACGUUCAGCAGUCCUGAAAGGACAAUCCUCAUCACACGAAUGUAAGAGGUACAGGCCGUCACAAAUCCGAACGGGAGUCUGUUGAGUUCCAUCAAUCCUCUGUGAGUUGAAAAAGCAUUUAGUGCUUUAGCCCUUUCAGUUUGUGGUAUUUGGUAAUACGCCUUACAUAAAUCCAGUUCCGAAAAAUACCUGGCUCCCGCAAAUUUGUGUAGAUCUUCCACAGCACAAGCUGGUUCAGCUUGGAAAACAGUAAUCGAGUUGAGCUGGUGGUAGUCAAUGGUCAUCUUGUAAGAUCCAUCUUUUUACCGUACCAUUACAACAGGAGAGCAAUAUGGAGAUGAAGACAAACCAAUUAUCCCCUGUUAAUCGAGUUGGUUGACCUCCUUGAAGUAAGGCUAGAGAUAGAUUAGGACAGGCUCGAUGCUCUUCAUUGUUUAUGGUGACGACAGAAGUCUUGGCAUAAGCGGGUGGUAUAUUUCCAAGGGAGGAACUUCAUUCAUUAAUUCAGUAAAGUUGACGUGUGUCCUUUGGUGGUGCUUCUUGAGUAGGUUGACGUGUUAGAGCGUAGGUCCUUUGGGGAGAUCGAGAAGGUGAUCGACUUUAUAUCUUUUAUCCAAGACUUUCAUGCUCUUGGCUCAUCAGCACACAGCUUAAAUAGGGCUGCCUUGAGGGACCCAUGGAAUCUUUCAAUUCUGCCAUUUCCACUGGGAUGAAAAGGUGUUGUGAAGAUGGGUUUAACUCCCAGGAAGCGAUGAAGUUCAGCCAUUAACUGUGAUGUAAACUGGAUGCCUCUUUCCAAUAAGAUUUCUCUGUGAAUACCCACCCAAGAAAAAUCGCCAAUAAUGUUUCUACUACAUAUAUGCUGUCAAUGUCCUUGAAAGAAACGACUUCAGGGAACCCUGUAGCGAAAUCAAUCAGUGUAAGUAUGUACCGAUGACUUUCUGAAGAGGAUGGUGACAAGGGUCUGACAAGAUCUAUGGCAACACGGGAAAAGGGUUCCGAUAUGAUGGGAAGAAAUUGAAGAGGAACUGGAGGAACUCGACCUUUAGCGGACAUAUGCUGGCACUUGUCACACGAGCGGCAGUAAGAUGGGAUGUCUGUUCCCAUACCAGACCAGUAGAACUGAUCAGCUAUCUUCUGUUCCUGUGAGAAAAGUGGCCAGCCGAAGGAGACUCAUGGGUGACGGAAAGGACAGCUUGGCGACAGUCUGCAAGGACAACAAGAGAAAGUUUUCCUAUCUUAUCUGAGCGCUUGGAAGGAACACACUUACGGUAGAGAAGUCCAUUUACAUGAAGGAAUUGGUAUGUAGAACCACUUCGUGAGUGUUCCUUCUCUCCAGAAGCCGUUUUCUCCACCACUCGUGUUAGAGAGGGGCAAGAAUCCUGAAGGCGGUGGAAGUCCUCUGGUAUCACUCAGAAAGGCUGCAAGUCUGGUAGGACUAAUGGGUGAAUCUUCUUCAUUCGGCUGGCUCUUGUCUCCACAGCUUGGACUAUGGCGGCUGUUAGAGUUUGGAAAGACUCCUGAAUAGAUACAUCAGAAGUCCAGUCACACAGGGUUACAAGAUCCUCUGGAGGACGAGCACCAUUGAUGGUACCUGGAACGCUGUAUUGGAUCUGAUAUCGUUUAUUUAGGCAAAACCAAACCUUAUACCCAGGGAUAAAUCCAGCAUCCUUGAAAGCACAAGGGUUUUUCGGACAGCGAAACUGGGUAUGUCCCUCUUGUCCGGAAUUGUACCAUCAAAUGGACAAGCUGGUCUUUCCGCUCUGCUUCCCAGAAGUGUUGCGAGCAAGAGAGGCUGUCGGUGUAGGUGUUUUCCUACUCCCAAAUGUUGAACGUGACAUUCAGCCGGUUCCUGAAUUACUUCUUUUUUGGUCCGUUAGGCAGCCAACCAAGCAAUUUGUGUCCUGUGCCGUUCCAGAAUGCCUUUUUCCAUCUGUUUUUUGUCCGCUAGUGGACCAAAGAUUGGAACUUUGGUCGAGGGGUUUUGCAAAACAUUGGUCAAGUGUCCGGGCGACCAAAGUUACCGCCUUGUACGAGUAUUUUAAAUUUCCAAAUGUAAAAAGAAGCUAACUGUAAUCAAAUUUAUUUCAGUCUAUUUACCUUGUCAAAUUUUUUUGAUGGUACAACAAAGCUUUUCUUAUGCUAUAUUGAGCAUACAUUUUAAUUUUUGAAGUCUACUGUAGUCGCCUUGUGAGUUCACGCCAAACAUCAACAACAGCCUAAUCGACUCGUCACAUCUCUACUUCACUGACUAAAUUUGGUACCAUGGCUGCAUUAGAAGAAAUCAUAGAUGAAGAAAUGUAUGAAAUGGAAGAAUUGCGACGAGUGAGGAUUCCACGCAUUGUACCUAAAGAUCGCAGUGACCCAUUUCAUUAUCUUUCUGGUGAAGAAUUCCUUGAGCGUUUUCGUCUGCCAAAGGAUGCUGUAUGAAACCUCAUUGAAGAAGUUAGGCCACGUACACAUGUGGACAGGCUUGGCACAGGAUAUGGCAUUCCUCUGCAUUUGAAGAUGCUAGUUACCUUGCGGUACCUAGCCACGGGAAGUUUCCUUCUUACGGUAGCUGACAUAAUGGAUAUUGCAAAAUCAUUAGCAUGCAGUGCUGUUGGAGAGGUGGUUCAACUUAUUGUUUUCCUGGCACAGACUACAUCAAAUUCCCACAGCCAGAAGAAGCACGUCAGAUGGCCUCAAAGUUCUAUGAUAUUGCUGGUAUGCCAGUUGUAUUCGGGUGUAUAGAUUGUACACAUAUGCCAGGUGGGAACAACGUUGAGAUGUAUAGAUGUCGAGAGGGGUUUUACUCGUUAAAUGUCCAAGGUAUUUGUGAUUCAGAACUCAAAUUUAUGCAUGUUGUCGCAAGUUGUCCAGGCAGCGUACAUGACUCAAGAAUAUUUUCUAAUUGUCGUAUCUGUCAUCUUCUAGAGCAAGGAGAUUACAGCGGUUUAUAUUUGUUAGGGGAUAGUGGGUAUCCAAGUCGGGAAUAUUUACUGACUCCACUCCUAGCUCCAAGAA